rnacentral:rRNA from 1 species
GGGACACGUGGUAUCCUGUCUGAAUAUGGGGGGACCAUCCUCCAAGGCUAAAUACUCCUGACUGACCGAUAGUGAACCAGUACCGUGAGGGAAAGGCGAAAAGAACCCCGGCGAGGGGAGUGAAAAAGAACCUGAAACCGUGUACGUACAAGCAGUGGGAGCACGCUUAGGCGUGUGACUGCGUACCUUUUGUAUAAUGGGUCAGCGACUUAUAUUCUGUAGCAAGGUUAACCGAAUAGGGGAGCCGAAGGGAAACCGAGUCUUAACUGGGCGUUAAGUUGCAGGGUAUAGACCCGAAACCCGGUGAUCUAGCCAUGGGCAGGUUGAAGGUUGGGUAACACUAACUGGAGGACCGAACCGACUAAUGUUGAAAAAUUAGCGGAUGACUUGUGGCUGGGGGUGAAAGGCCAAUCAAACCGGGAGAUAGCUGGUUCUCCCCGAAAGCUAUUUAGGUAGCGCCUCGUGAAUUCAUCUCCGGGGGUAGAGCACUGUUUCGGCAAGGGGGUCAUCCCGACUUACCAACCCGAUGCAAACUGCGAAUACCGGAGAAUGUUAUCACGGGAGACACACGGCGGGUGCUAACGUCCGUCGUGAAGAGGGAAACAACCCAGACCGCCAGCUAAGGUCCCAAAGUCAUGGUUAAGUGGGAAACGAUGUGGGAAGGCCCAGACAGCCAGGAUGUUGGCUUAGAAGCAGCCAUCAUUUAAAGAAAGCGUAAUAGCUCACUGGUCGAGUCGGCCUGCGCGGAAGAUGUAACGGGGCUAAACCAUGCACCGAAGCUGCGGCAGCGACGCUUAUGCGUUGUUGGGUAGGGGAGCGUUCUGUAAGCCUGUGAAGGUGUGCUGUGAGGCAUGCUGGAGGUAUCAGAAGUGCGAAUGCUGACAUAAGUAACGAUAAAGCGGGUGAAAAGCCCGCUCGCCGGAAGACCAAGGGUUCCUGUCCAACGUUAAUCGGGGCAGGGUGAGUCGACCCCUAAGGCGAGGCCGAAAGGCGUAGUCGAUGGGAAACAGGUUAAUAUUCCUGUACUUGGUGUUACUGCGAAGGGGGGACGGAGAAGGCUAUGUUGGCCGGGCGACGGUUGUCCCGGUUUAAGCGUGUAGGCUGGUUUUCCAGGCAAAUCCGGAAAAUCAAGGCUGAGGCGUGAUGACGAGGCACUACGGUGCUGAAGCAACAAAUGCCCUGCUUCCAGGAAAAGCCUCUAAGCAUCAGGUAACAUCAAAUCGUACCCCAAACCGACACAGGUGGUCAGGUAGAGAAUACCAAGGCGCUUGAGAGAACUCGGGUGAAGGAACUAGGCAAAAUGGUGCCGUAACUUCGGGAGAAGGCACGCUGAUAUGUAGGUGAAGCGACUUGCUCGUGGAGCUGAAAUCAGUCGAAGAUACCAGCUGGCUGCAACUGUUUAUUAAAAACACAGCACUGUGCAAACACGAAAGUGGACGUAUACGGUGUGACGCCUGCCCGGUGCCGGAAGGUUAAUUGAUGGGGUCAGCGCAAGCGAAGCUCUUGAUCGAAGCCCCGGUAAACGGCGGCCGUAACUAUAACGGUCCUAAGGUAGCGAAAUUCCUUGUCGGGUAAGUUCCGACCUGCACGAAUGGCGUAAUGAUGGCCAGGCUGUCUCCACCCGAGACUCAGUGAAAUUGAACUCGCUGUGAAGAUGCAGUGUACCCGCGGCAAGACGGAAAGACCCCGUGAACCUUUACUAUAGCUUGACACUGAACAUUGAGCCUUGAUGUGUAGGAUAGGUGGGAGGCUUAGAAGUGUGGACGCCAGUCUGCAUGGAGCCGACCUUGAAAUACCACCCUUUAAUGUUUGAUGUUCUAACGUUGACCCGUAAUCCGGGUUGCGGACAGUGUCUGGUGGGUAGUUUGACUGGGGCGGUCUCCUCCUAAAGAGUAACGGAGGAGCACGAAGGUUGGCUAAUCCUGGUCGGACAUCAGGAGGUUAGUGCAAUGGCAUAAGCCAGCUUGACUGCGAGCGUGACGGCGCGAGCAGGUGCGAAAGCAGGUCAUAGUGAUCCGGUGGUUCUGAAUGGAAGGGCCAUCGCUCAACGGAUAAAAGGUACUCCGGGGAUAACAGGCUGAUACCGCCCAAGAGUUCAUAUCGACGGCGGUGUUUGGCACCUCGAUGUCGGCUCAUCACAUCCUGGGGCUGAAGUAGGUCCCAAGGGUAUGGCUGUUCGCCAUUUAAAGUGGUACGCGAGCUGGGUUUAGAACGUCGUGAGACAGUUCGGUCCCUAUCUGCCGUGGGCGCUGGAGAACUGAGGGGGGCUGCUCCUAGUACGAGAGGACCGGAGUGGACGCAUCACUGGUGUUCGGGUUGUCAUGCCAAUGGCACUGCCCGGUAGCUAAAUGCGGAAGAGAUAAGUGCUGAAAGCAUCUAAGCACGAAACUUGCCCCGAGAUGAGUUCUCCCUGACUC